GAUGAACGCUGGCGGCGUGCCUAAUACAUGCAAGUCGAGCGAAUGGAUUAAGAGCUUGCUCUUAUGAAGUUAGCGGCGGACGGGUGAGUAACACGUGGGUAACCUGCCCAUAAGACUGGGAUAACUCCGGGAAACCGGGGCUAAUACCGGAUAACAUUUUGAACCGCAUGGUUCGAAAUGGAAAGGCGGCUUCGGCUGUCACUUAUGGAUGGACCCGCGUCGCAUUAGCUAGUUGGUGAGGUAACGGCUCACCAAGGCAACGAUGCGUAGCCGACCUGAGAGGGUGAUCGGCCACACUGGGACUGAGACACGGCCCAGACUCCUACGGGAGGCAGCAGUAGGGAAUCUUCCGCAAUGGACGAAAGUCUGACGGAGCAACGCCGCGUGAGUGAUGAAGGCUUUCGGGUCGUAAAACUCUGUUGUUAGGGAAGAACAAGUGCUAGUUGAAUAAGCUGGCACCUUGACGGUACCUAACCAGAGAGCCACGGCUAACUACGUGCCAGCCGCCGCCGUAA
rnacentral:rRNA from 1 species